rnacentral:rRNA from 1 species
GCAAACUGCGAAUACCGGAGAAUGUUAUCACGGGAGACACACGGCGGGUGCUAACGUCCGUCGUGAAGAGGGAAACAACCCAGACCGCCAGCUAAGGUCCCAAAGUCAUGGUUAAGUGGGAAACGAUGUGGGAAGGCCCAGACAGCCAGGAUGUUGGCUUAGAAGCAGCCAUCAUUUAAAGAAAGCGUAAUAGCUCACUGGUCGAGUCGGCCUGCGCGGAAGAUGUAACGGGGCUAAACCAUGCACCGAAGCUGCGGCAGCGACACUAUGUGUUGUUGGGUAGGGGAGCGUUCUGUAAGCCUGUGAAGGUGGCCUGUGAGGGUUGCUGGAGGUAUCAGAAGUGCGAAUGCUGACAUAAGUAACGAUAAAGCGGGUGAAAAGCCCGCUCGCCGGAAGACCAAGGGUUCCUGUCCAACGUUAAUCGGGGCAGGGUGAGUCGACCCCUAAGGCGAGGCCGAAAGGCGUAGUCGAUGGGAAACAGGUUAAUAUUCCUGUACUUGGUGUUACUGCGAAGGGGGGACGGAGAAGGCUAUGUUGGCCGGGCGACGGUUGUCCCGGUUUAAGCGUGUAGGCUGGUUUUCCAGGCAAAUCCGGAAAACCAAGGCUGAGGCGUGAUGACGAGGCACUACGGUGCUGAAGUGACAAAUGCCCUGCUUCCAGGAAAAGCCUCUAAGCAUCAGGUAACAUCAAAUCGUACCCCAAACCGACACAGGUGGUCAGGUAGAGAAUACCAAGGCGCUUGAGAGAACUCGGGUGAAGGAACUAGGCAAAAUGGUGCCGUAACUUCGGGAGAAGGCACGCUGAUAUGUAGGUGAAGCGACUUGCUCGUGGAGCUGAAAUCAGUCGAAGAUACCAGCUGGCUGCAACUGUUUAUUAAAAACACAGCACUGUGCAAACACGAAAGUGGACGUAUACGGUGUGACGCCUGCCCGGUGCCGGAAGGUUAAUUGAUGGGGUUAGCGGUAACGCGAAGCUCUUGAUCGAAGCCCCGGUAAACGGCGGCCGUAACUAUAACGGUCCUAAGGUAGCGAAAUUCCUUGUCGGGUAAGUUCCGACCUGCACGAAUGGCGUAAUGAUGGCCAGGCUGUCUCCACCCGAGACUCAGUGAAAUUGAACUCGCUGUGAAGAUGCAGUGUACCCGCGGCAAGACGGAAAGACCCCGUGAACCUUUACUAUAGCUUGACACUGAACAUUGAGCCUUGAUGUGUAGGAUAGGUGGGAGGCUUUGAAGUGUGGACGCCAGUCUGCAUGGAGCCGACCUUGAAAUACCACCCUUUAAUGUUUGAUGUUCUAACGUUGGCCCGUAAUCCGGGUUGCGGACAGUGUCUGGUGGGUAGUUUGACUGGGGCGGUCUCCUCCUAAAGAGUAACGGAGGAGCACGAAGGUUGGCUAAUCCUGGUCGGACAUCAGGAGGUUAGUGCAAUGGCAUAAGCCAGCUUGACUGCGAGCGUGACGGCGCGAGCAGGUGCGAAAGCAGGUCAUAGUGAUCCGGUGGUUCUGAAUGGAAGGGCCAUCGCUCAACGGAUAAAAGGUACUCCGGGGAUAACAGGCUGAUACCGCCCAAGAGUUCAUAUCGACGGCGGUGUUUGGCACCUCGAUGUCGGCUCAUCACAUCCUGGGGCUGAAGUAGGUCCCAAGGGUAUGGCUGUUCGCCAUUUAAAGUGGUACGCGAGCUGGGUUUAGAACGUCGUGAGACAGUUCGGUCCCUAUCUGCCGUGGGCGCUGGAGAACUGAGGGGGGCUGCUCCUAGUACGAGAGGACCGGAGUGGACGCAUCACUGGUGUUCGGGUUGUCAUGCCAAUGGCACUGCCCGGUAGCUAAAUGCGGAAGAGAUAAGUGCUGAAAGCAUCUAAGCACGAAACUUGCCCCGAGAUGAGUUCUCCCUGACUCCUUGAGGGUCCUGAAGGAACGUUGAAGACGACGACGUUGAUAGGCCGGGUGUGUAAGCGCAGCGAUGCGUUGAGCUAACCGGUACUAAUGAACCGUGAGGCUUAACCUUACAACGCCGAAG